rnacentral:lncRNA from 1 species
UUGUUUCCCCUUCCACCAUGAUUGUAAGUUAUCUGAGGCCUCCCAGACCAGCAGAACUGUGAAUCAAUUAACCUCUUUCCUUUAUAAAUUACCCAGUCUCAUAUAUUUCUUCAUAGCAUCAUGAGAAUGGACUAAUACAGCCCCCUCCUUUUUCUUGCAUCCCCUCCAGCUCCAUCCUUCCCCUGGUGGUCUCCCAGAGUGUCAACCUCAGGAGAACUUAGUUGGAACCAAAAGCUUCCACCUCCCAGCCUCCUUAAACCUCACCUUUCUCCUCUACAUCAGUCCCAAACUAGAGGCUGAGCUACUUGCUAAGGGUCAUACACUUUUCAUCCACACUCCCAUCUCCAUUCUCCCACCAGUUCCUGUUCACAACCAAGUCCCCUUCUCCUUUCCCAGUCUUCCUCUUGCAUGCUCCACUAGCUAGCAGAAGUUUGAGGAAGUAUUUAUGUGCAAUGUACAAAGUGAGUUCCAGUUCCCUGACGGCCAGCUUUAUUUUUAGCAGCCCUCCAGGCUCCUGCAUGUCUCUUUCGAGCUCCUUGGCUUCCCGGUCUUUUCAGCAGGAGCAGAGAUGUGCCUGGAUACAAAUAAGAUACACACUCUGAGUCUUUUUUACCUAAAUAUUUGCAGCUCCCAACCAGCAAGUCUAAUAGUCCAGCCUUCUCUCUGUGAACCUAUUUUGUCUUCCCCACUCCUCAACUGCUUGUUUUUCCAGUUUUUGGAUUACUGCCAGGAGCAAUCAUUUCCCUUUCCCCACAAAGGAGCAGAGAGAUGCUUCCCUUUCCAAAUACAGAGACACUGGAGCAGGAGGGGCUGCAGAACCAUAUUUGGCAAUGGAUCUCGGCUACGCUCCUGCAGGACAAGGAAAAUCCAAGAGAGGAGACCCAAAAAUAAUAAUAAUAAAUAAAUAACAACAACAACAACAAAAAAACCUCACACAGGAGAAAAGGUUUAAGGCUUUAAGGACAAACAUGUUGCUUAGAACCUAGGGGUUGGGCCUUAUAAGUCCCCUUAACCCCAGCCAGGUAGCUGAAAACUGACAUGGCUAAGCCCAAAACACAAUAGACACAGCUCUGCUGUCCCCACUGUGUAUGUGAGGGUCAGUCCACUGGGGCUGUAGGUAAGCCCGUGGCUCUGGAGUACCUGCCAGACUUGUGCCCUUAACCUUCAUUCAAGGUACACAACCUGUCUGAGCCUGUUUUCUCAUCUGCAAAAUGAGAUAAUUAAUGAUGCCUUCCUUGCAGGUUUCCUGUGAGCAUUCAAUAUGAUGAUUACAGAAGGUACUUAUCACUGAGCACUGCUCCAUCCACUGCCAGCGCUUAGUAAGGGGUUGUUGUUAUGAUUUUCAUUUUUUACAUUCAUUUGCUACAAAAACCCUGGAAACUCUUCCCAAGAAAUGGGAACUCCUGAAUAGGAUGAUUGGCUUCUCCUUUUUUUUUUCUUGGCAGCCCCAGAACUUAGCAUAGCAUAGUAUCGUACACUCAAUGUUGGCUGAAGAUGAAAAGGCAGAAGAUACCAUUCCUAGUUCAUAGAUCAGGUCUAAGGAAUAAGGGAACCCCAGUUUGUAUGCCUCCAGCCCCUGUCUUUUCACUAAGCCAUGCUUAUCCUGAGCUGUCUCACUUACAAAAAUGAUUUGUAGAGACAGGUAAAGUUAUAACAGGUGUUUGUCUGAGGGAUCAAGAGGGCUGGGGGUGCUUCCAUUUCAGACCAGAAACAGGCAGGUGCCAGCUGGUGAUUUCUUGUCCUACACAGGUGUUCUGCAUUGCCAGUUCUACCCCUUGGAAUGUCUCAGCUGGACAUUCACCUACUCAUUCAUUCACUCGUUCUUUCACUCAUUCAUUCAUCAAGGAGUGAUUGCAAACCUGGGAGCAGAGGAGACAAAAGGCAAUGAGACAUGGGCUGUACCUUCUUGAAGCUCACAGUCUACCAACAGACACAGCCUGUAAAUAAGCAAUUGCUGCAUACAGAGAUGAAGGUUUUAAAGAAGGUUUGCUUGUGGUCCAACUAGAGAUGGUGGAGUAAGAGGUCAGAACUACUUUGGGGGCAAGAACAGGGGUCGGUGAGGACUUUAUCCAGAAGUAAAGGCUGGAGCUGGCUGGGACCUCAUUGAGUGAACAGGAUGAAGAAGACAUUACCAGCUGAGAAAACAGACAAAGGCACAGAGGCAUGGCUGAGAAGAAAGCAUUAAGAAGACCACAAACAGCCAGGUGUGAUGGUGCAUGUCUGUAGUCCCAGCUACUCAGGAAGCUGAGGCCAGAGGAUUACUUGAGCCCAGGAGUUUUAGGCUACAGUGAGCAACAAUUACACCACUGCACUCCAGCCUGAGCAACAGGGCAAGACUCUGUCUCAAAAAACAAAUAAACAAACAAAAGAAACAAACAACUGGGAAUGCCAUACACCUGGGAAGAGUUAGGAGCAAUGCAGCUGGAGAAGGCAGCAGAAACAGGCUGAGCAAGCCUCAUGGGCUUUAUCCUGAAGGCAGCUGUGGACCACUGAAGAUUUUCAGGCAGGGAAAUGAUACGACAGAUUUGCAUUUUAGGAACAAGGUGAGCCUUUCUGAUCCAUGUAUGAACUCAUCAGGCCCACUUAAGUGAAGCUGUGCUCUAUGUUUUUCUUCUGACUCUCAGCAGCAUUUGUCACUGGAGGCCAUCUCCCUUUCUUUGUAUUCGGGGAUGGAGCGCGAGCUUGAUUCUCCUCCCACCUCUCAGAUCGUGUCUUCUCAGCAAGUUCCUGUUUCACCAGGAAUUUCCAAACAUGCAUGUCUCCCAGUUUUUCUGCCAAAAACUAACGGCCUUCAUUUUCUCUCUGCUCUGUCUCUUGGGAAUCUCAACCACACCUGCAGCUUCAACAUUUUUUUUUUUUUUUU